GAUGAACGCUGGCGGCGUGCUUAACACAUGCAAGUCGAACGAUGAAGCCUAGCUUGCUGUGUGGAUUAGUGGCGAACGGGUGAGUAACACGUGAGUAACCUGCCCUUAACUCUGGGCUAAGUCUGGGAAAAUGGGUCUAAAACCGGUCAGGUGCGUCAACCGACUGGAGGGUGUUGGCAAGAUUUAGCGGUUUUGGAUGGACUCGGGGCGUGGCAGCUUGUUGGUGUGGUCUUGGCUCUCCAAGGCGACGACGGAUAGCCGGCGUGAGCGGGUGACCGGCCACACUGGGAAUGAGGCACGGCCCAGACGCAGUCGGGAGGCAGCCGUGGUGGAUAGUGCACAGUGGGCGAGAGGCUGAGUCAGCGACGCCGCGCGAGGGAUGACGGCCUUCGGUUUGUAACCCUGUUGCAGUAGGGAAGAAGCGAAAGUGACGGUACCUGCAGAAGAAGCACCGGCUAACUACGUG
rnacentral:rRNA from 1 species